AUGAAGCAAUAUACAGGAUAUCAGCGAUAGAACAUGUGAAUCAGGGAACGUGGGAACCUGGCAGCAGAUACAAGAGCACCAAAGAUCAUGAAGUCAACCUACAUCCAUCUGGACAACCUGAGAGACUGGAGACCAACAACCAACAGACAUAUGAUAUUGAGUACCCCUGAUGUAGAUGCUAAUAAAUGACGUGUAAAGAGAGAGCAGCCGCCAAAUAAACCAAGAAAAAAAGCAAUGAA